rnacentral:rRNA from 1 species
UUGACGAGGCCGAUUUCGCGCCGAAGUCGUCGAUGCCAUGCUCCCUAGAAAAGCUUCGUGGCUAGCACGAGUACUGACCGUACCGCAAACCGACACAGGUGGGUGAGGUGAAUAUCCUCAGGCGCUCGAGAGAACCAUGGUUAAGGAACCCGGCAAAUUUGCUCCGUAACUUCGGGAGAAGGAGUGCCUUUUCGUGUUAGGGGCUUCGCGCCUCGAAGCAUGAGAGGGCCGCAGUGAAAGGCGAGCUGGAACUGGUUAUCAAAACCACAGGUCUGUGCUAAGGCAUGACGCCGACGUAUACAGACUGACGCUUGCUCAGUGACGGAAGGUCAAGGUGAGCGGUUAGCCGCAAGGCAAAGCUGCGAACUCAAGCCCCGUUAAACAGCGGCCGUAACUAUGACGGUCCUAAGGUAGCGAAAUUCCUUGUCGGGUAAGUUCCGACCCGCAUGAAUAGCGUAAUCACAGCUCGACUGUCUCAACCAUGGACUCGGUGAAACUGCAGUUGUGGUGAAAAUACCAUGUACCCGCGGCUAGACGGAAAGACCCCGUGAACCUUUACUGUAGCCUAUUAUUGGGUUUAGACAUUCCAUGCGUAGGAUAGGUGGGAGACGCCAUACCGACGGGUUCCGGCCCGAAGGAAGUCAACGGUGAAAUACCACCCUUGGGGUGUUUGAAUUCUAACCUCGUUCCGUGAAUCCGGGCGAGGGACCGUGGUAGGUGGGCAGUUUGGCUGGGGCGGUCUCCUCCAAAACAGUAACGGAGGAGCCCAAAGGUGCACUCAGUGCGGUUGGCAAUCGCACGUCGAGCGUAAAGGUAUAAGUGCGCUUAACUGUGAGACCGAUGGGUCGAACAGAUGCGAAAGCAGGGCUUAGUGAUCCGGCGGAUCCGGAUGGAAGGGACGUCGCUCAUCAGACAAAAGGUACUCCGGGGAUAACAGGCUGAUCUCCUCCAAGAGUCCAUAUCGACGAGGAGGUUUGGCACCUCGAUGUCGGCUCAUCGCAUCCUGGGGCUGAAGGAGGUCCCAAGGGUUCGGCUGUUCGCCGAUUAAAGCGAUACGUGAGCUGGGUUCAGACCGGCGUGAGCCAGGUCGGUCCCUAUCUGUCGUGGGUGUAGGAGGAUUGAGGAGACGUGACCCUAGUACGAGAGGAUUGGGUCGCACCGACCUCUGGUGUGCCGGUUAUCGCGCUAGCGGUAGCGCCGGGUAGCUAUGUCGGGACAGGAGAAACGCUGAAAGCAUAUAAGCGUGAAGCCAACUCCAAAACGAGUCCUCCCUAUCAGGCCCCUCGAAGACCACGAGGUAAUAGGCCGGACGUCGAGACGCCGUAAGGCGUGUAGCGGACCGGUACUAAUCGGCCGAUUGGCUUGACC